rnacentral:lncRNA from 1 species
UUCCAAAGCAACAACAACAACAACAACAACAACAACAACAACAACAGGACAACCAAUAAAACAUUUAAGCUGAUAAGCUUCAUUCCUGAAAGGUGAGUUUGUUGUUGUUAGUUCUUCUCAGCCCAGCUACAAAGUAGAAAGACAUCUAAUCUCUGACCACAGGCACAACCUCCUGGGAAUAAGUUAAGAGCAAAUACGUUUCUUUUGCUCGCCUUGAACAGGUAUUGUCUGUAGAUAGCACAGUGAGCAGCAUUGAGCACUGUGCAGCUUCUGCCUGCGAUGACCUACCCCACCUUCUGUUCCUGCAGCUUCUAAUGGUAACCAUGUGAGCUGGGGCAAUGAACAUGCUUUGGAUGGUCCAGCUCCUCCAUUUUCAACUUUAAAUUAAGAGGAAAGACUAUGUAAAACUACCUUUAUGAGUCUGACAAAACAUAUUGACCUAUUCCUCUAGUACCUAGUUAGUAAUUCAAUAUAUGUAUAUAUUUAAAUGAAUAGAUUUUUUCCCCAGCAGUUUUAAGCUUAGGGAUAAUUUUCUCAGAAAGUAUGGAGUUCAUAUUAUGCAGCCCCAGGCUAAUAUAGUUUGCACUUUUGGUAACAUCUUUCAUUAGUGUAGCCCAUCUGUUAAACUGAUAAAGCGGUAUGCAUGUAUUACUAUUAACUUAAGAGCAUAGUUUACAGUGAGCAUUUUAUUAAACAUUGUAUAGUUCUGAGUUUUCAUAAUGUCAUGCAUAUCAAGCAGAAUGAUUUUACUUUUCUAACAAUUAUCUACCCUUAAGUCUGAAACUGGAGC